rnacentral:lncRNA from 1 species
CAAAUAUGGACGACUCGGUCGGCUGCCAAGACAGACGAAGGCGUUUUACCCAAAAUAGUACGCCGAUUUAAGUCUCUUCGUCUUAUCGUGAUGCGGAAAUAAUGUGUGCAGUUUGGAUGCAACUGGUUGUCAAAUAUGUUGUACCGGCAUAGGAAGAUUAGUUGAUAGAAGGAAUGUAAACACAUCACGCACUUGUCCUUUUCAUCUGGCGAUCUGCUCUGGGAGACGAUUUGAAUGGAUCGUUCAUUUUUAUGUUUUAAAGUUCUGUAUUCAUAUGUUAAGUGUAUAUCUGGAUGGAAUUGAACCGACUUUCUUAUGGUUCCUAACAUGGAGAACCUAGUAAACCAAAGGCCAAGCUAAGUGAUGCCAAGCUUCAGUGUAAAACUUUGAGCAGGUGCCAG